UGGGGAAUCUUGCGCAAUGGGGGAAACUCUGACGCAGCGACGCCGCGUGCGGGAUGAAGGCCUUCGGGUUGUAAACCGCUUUCAGCAGGGACGAGGCCUUAUGGUGACGGUACCUGCAGAAGAAGCUCCGGCUAAAUACGUGCCAGCAGCCGCGGUAAUACGUAUGGAGCAAGCGUUAUCCGGAUUCAUUGGGCGUAAAGCGCUCGUAGGCGGUCUGUUAGGUCGGCAAGUUAAAUCCGGGGGCUCAACCCCCGUCCGCUUCCGAUACCGGCAGACUUGAGUUUGGUAGGGGAAGGUGGGAUUCCUAGUGUGGCGGUGGAAUGCGCAGAUAUUAGGAAGAACACCGGUGGCGAAGGCGGCCUUCUGGGCCAUAACUGACGCUGAGGAGCGAAAGCUAGGGGAGCGAACAGG
rnacentral:rRNA from 1 species